CUAUCCUUGAGAAUCCACAUUCUGGGAAGACAAAAUGAGAAAGUCUGGGAAACUGGAGAAAAAAGUGAAGAAAUGGAAGUCAAGGAAAAGACAUAUUUUUAUUUCCUGGAGCUACAGUGAAUGGAAACUAAGUGUUGCCAAUGCUGCUGUUUUCAACAGAGAGUCCAGAACGCAGGCGACCAACCUGCCUCAGAGUGCCUACACUCACUAGGAGACCGGCAGACCGCCAUUCAGCCCUUCUGACUCGCGUCCCGGCAAGCCACCUUCCCCCUUGAACGCCAAAAUGUCCGACAACCUCUUUGCCAUCUAAGCCUUUUUGAGUCCUCUUGAACGCAAGCCCAUGAAGUACAUGGGCACUUCACUCUCCCCACCCCCUGGGUCGUGCCACGACGUUUCCCCCAACUCUUUUCUCAACCUGUCUACCCCACGCUCCCCCAAAUAAACCAGAGCCAUUCGUGAUUCUCAAACCUGUCUGAAGUGUCGUCAGGAAAAAAACCACGCAAAGUGCCCAGGAU